UACGGGGGGGGGCAAGCGUUGUUCGGAAUUACUGGGCGUAAAGGGCUCGUAGGCGGCCAACUAAGUCGGACGUGAAAUCCCCAGGCUCAACCUGGGAACUGCGUCCGAUACUGGAUGGCUUGAAUCCGGGAGAGGGAUGCAGAAUUCCAGGUGUAGCGGUGAAAUGCGUAGAUAUCUGGAGGAACACCGAUGGCGAAGGCAGGUCACUGGGCCGCAACUGACGCUGAGGAGCGAAAGCAUGGGGAGCGAACAGG
rnacentral:rRNA from 1 species